GACCGGUGGCACCAGGUCAGCAGUCAAUCAAUCAAAGGGUCUCGGAGGGUCAGCAACAUGGACGACGAGAGACUCAUUGUCGAAGUUCAGCAACAUGAAUCCACUACCUCUAUCUAGUGGCUACUUGACGUCCUUCUCCUGACACACCAGUCUACAAUCACCAAUCACCAUUCCCUACUUCAGCCGGGGAUCUCCCAUCAGCCGGCGCCAGUUCGUUGUUACGUCUACCCAUUCUCCCCCUGCAACCGAACCCCUGCCUGCCUGACUACCCGCCUGUCGUCUAGCCUGCCUGACUGCCUGCCUGUUACUGGACCCCUGCCUGCCUGACUACCCGCCUGCCUACCAAUAAAUCCCGUUCCCUUUACUCCGUCUCUGCCUUCCAGUGUUCAGCACUUGGGUCCCCACGUUCUGUUCCAUAACAUUUUCAGCUACAAUUGUUUUAAGAAAAAUGAAGACAAGACCAAAAGUGAUGCAAUUUAAAAUGCAUCAUGCUCUGAAUCAUUCACUAACAUCCUUUCCACAAUUUCAAACAGAAUGGUCAGAGUAACAAACAAUUAAAAGAACAACAAGAACAUUAUUUCACAACUAUUUGCAUGAGCUGUAAGCCUAACAUUGUUUGAGGCAAAUGUGGAUGUUAAUGGAUGUUUCAGAAGGUUAGUCAUGGUGUUAAGCCAAUUAAGAUUGAGGGACUUCAUUUAUAAAUCAAGUCAAUCCUCCUCGCGGGCUCCGCAGCCCGGCCACGGACAGCCCUGCCCGAC
ensembl:lncRNA